UACAUAGGGUGCAAGCGUUAUUCGGAUUUAUUGGGCGUAAAGAGCUCGUAGGCGGUUCAACAAGUCGGGUGUUAAACCCCCAGGCUCAACCUGGGGCCGCCACUCGAAACUGUUGUGACUAGAGUUUGGUAGGGGAUCACGGAAUUCCUGGUGUAGCGGUGGAAUGCGCAGAUAUCAGGAGGAACACCAGUAGCGAAGGCGGUGAUCUGGGCCAAUACUGACGCUGAGGAGCGAAAGCGUGGGGAGCGAACAGGAUUAGAUACCCGUGGUAGUCCACGCCGUAAACGGUGGGCACUAGGUGUGGGGACUUUUCAACGGUUUCCGCGCCGCAGCUAACGCAUUAAGUGCCCCGCCUGGGGUAGUACGGUCGCAAGACUAAAA
rnacentral:rRNA from 1 species